rnacentral:sRNA from 1 species
UUAUUCGAUGACAUGUCUUUGUGGCCUC